AUUGAACGCUGGCGGCAGGCCUAACACAUGCAAGUCGAGCGAGCGGCGGACGGGGGAGUAAUGUCUGGGAAACUGUCUGAUGGAGGGGGAUAACUACUGGAAACGGUAGCUAAUACCGCAUACCAUCAGAUGUGCCCAGGUGGGAUUAGCUCGUAGGGGGGGUAACGGCGCACCUAGGCGACGAUCCCUAGCUGGGAGGAGAGGAUGACCAGCCACACUGUAACUUAGACACGGUCCAGACUCCUACGGGAGGCAGCAGUGGGGAAUAUUGCACAAUGGGCGCAAGCCUGAUGCAGCCAUGCCGCGUGUGUGAAGAAGGCCUUCGGGUUGUAAAGCACUUUCAGCGGGGAGGCGUUACCCGCAGAAGAAGCACCGGCUAACUCCGUGCCAGCCGCCGCGGUAAUUC
rnacentral:rRNA from 1 species